rnacentral:lncRNA from 1 species
GUCCAUCGGAAUUUUUUUGUCAUCUUCCUGAUAGAGUGAACAUUUACAUGAUUUUUAUCUUCUGGCAAAAAGCUUGAACAAUAUUGCCUGGGUUGACCCUGACAGUGCUUUGCACAGUGAUCUUCAGAUUGUAAAAGAAAAAGAAGGGAUAGGAGACAUUUUGCUCAACUUAUCUUUUAAGAAACUGUUGUGGUUGUCAACUGGAUUGUCUUCCUAAAGUAUGAAUCCGGUAUAUAUUGAUUGAAGUUGUUAAUGGCUACUUCUUUACGGAUUCAUAUGGGGGAACGAAUGAAGCACACAGGCCUACAACAAAAAACAAAACAUGAAAAAAACAGGAAGGUAUGUGUUGGGUGGAGGAGCAUUAUAUAUGGAACUUCUCACAAAACAGCUGAAAGAGUAUCAGCAGAGGAACAGCCCUGGUGUUCCGGCAGGAGUGAAGACGAAGAAAAAAACUGGAAGUAGCCCUGAGACAACCACUUCUGGUGGUUGCCACUCACCUGAGGAUUCCUCCUCCAACUCAUCCUCUCUAUAUGCGCCUCAGAGCCGGUACCAAGAACUAGCAGUAGCCCUGGACUUAAACUCUGCGACAAUCAAUCACCUUAAUGAAAACAUAGAAUCAUUGAAACAGCAGAAGAAACAAGUGGAACAUCAGCUGGAAGAAGAAAAGAAAGCGAACAAUGAAAUACACAAAGCGCAAAUGGAGCAGUUAGAGACAAUCAACAUCCUCAUGUUGGAAAAGGCAAACUUGAAGACCACCCUUUACCAUACUAAACGUGCCGCCAGACACUUUGAAGAAGAGUCCAAGGAUCUGGCCAGCCGCCUGCAAUACUCCUUGCAGCGUACUCAAGAAUUGGAGUGGGCUCUCUCUGCUGUGUCUACACAGCAGCAGGAAGAGGACAGGAUGAGUCCAACCAGCUGUCCCGUCCCCUGGCAGCCUGGCUUGCCAGAUGGAGGAGUGAGCCUAAAGCUCCCUUCUGCAGGAUGCAGUGUCCUGCCCAGAAGGCAGCAGGAUCAUUUCAAGCUGCUUUUGUGUUUGGUUGUUAGAGGCAGCCUGGGGCUGAGUCAGCUGCUGUGGGUGUGUUGGGGGCACUGUGGGCAGUGA